rnacentral:rRNA from 1 species
UACAGAGGGGGCAAGCGUUAUUCGGAAUUAUUGGGCGUAAAGGGUGCGUAGGCGGGUCUUUAAGUCAGGGGUGAAAUCUUGGAGCUCAACUCCAGAACUGCCUUUGAUACUGAAGAUCUUGAGUUCGGGAGAGGUGAGUGGAACUGCGAGUGUAGAGGUGAAAUUCGUAGAUAUUCGCAAGAACACCAGUGGCGAAGGCGGCUCACUGGCCCGAUACUGACGCUGAGGCACGAAAGCGUGGGGAGCAAACAGG